rnacentral:rRNA from 1 species
GACGAACGCUGGCGGCGUGCCUAACACAUGCAAGUCGAGCGAUGAAACCCUUCGGGGUGGAUUAGCGGCGGACGGGUGAGUAACACGUGGGUAACCUGCCUCAAAGAGGGGGAUAGCCUCCCGAAAGGGAGAUUAAUACCGCAUAACAUUAGUUUUUCGCAUGAAGAACUAAUUAAAGGAGUAAUCCGCUUUGAGAUGGACCCGCGGCGCAUUAGCUAGUUGGUGAGGUAAAGGCUCACCAAGGCGACGAUGCGUAGCCGACCUGAGAGGGUGAUCGGCCACAUUGGAACUGAGACACGGUCCAGACUCCUACGGGAGGCAGCAGUGGGGAAUAUUGCACAAUGGGCGAAAGCCUGAUGCAGAACGCCGCGUGAGUGAUGAAGGCCUUCGGGUUGUAAAGCUCUGUCUUUUGGGACGAUAAUGACGGUACCAAAGGAGGAAGCCACGGCUAACUACGUGCCAGCAGCCGCGGUAAAAC